AUUGAACGCUGGCGGCAUGCCUUACACUUGCAAGUCGAACGGCAGCGCGGGAGCAAUCCUGGCGGCGAGUGGCGAACGGGUGAGUAAUAUAUCGGAACGUGCCCAGUAGUGGGGGAUAGCCCGGCGAAAGCCGGAUUAAUACCGCAUACAACCUACGGGUGAAGGGGGGGAUCGCAAGACCUCUCGCUAUUGGAGCGGCCGAUAUCAGAUUAGGUAGUUGGUGGGGUAAAGGCCUACCAAGCCUGCGAUCUGUAGUUGGUCUGAGAGGACGACCAGCCACACUGGGACUGAGACACGGCCCAGACUCCUACGGGAGGCAGCAGUGGGGAAUUUUGGACAAUGGGCGCAAGCCUGAUCCAGCAAUGCCGCGUGCAGGAAGAAGGCCUUCGGAUUGUAAACUGCUUUUGUCAGGGAAGAAAUCCUCUAGGCUAAUACCUUGGGGGGAUGACGGUACCUGAAGAAUAAGCACCGGCUAACUACGUGCCAGCAGCCGCGGUAAAAC
rnacentral:rRNA from 1 species